rnacentral:rRNA from 1 species
AGCGAACGCUGGCGGCAGGCCUAACACAUGCAAGUCGAACGAACCUUUCGGGGUUAGUGGCGGACGGGUGAGUAACACGUGGGAACGUGCCUUUAGGUUCGGAAUAACUCAGGGAAACUUGUGCUAAUACCGAAUGUGCCCUUCGGGGGAAAGAUUAAUCGCCUUUAGAGCGGCCCGCGUCUGAUUAGCUAGUUGGUUGAGGUAAUGGCUCACCAAGGCGACGAUCAGUAGCUGGUCUGAGAGGAUGAUCAGCCACAUUGGGACUGAGACACGGCCCAAACUCCUACGGGAGGCAGCAGUGGGGAAUCUUGCGCAAUGGGCGAAAGCCGACGCAGCCAUGCCGCGUGAAUGAUGAAGGUCUUAGGAUUGUAAAAUUCUUUCACCGGGGACGAUAAUGACGGUACCCGGAGAAGAAGCCCCGGCUAACUUCGUG